AAGUCGUAACAAGGUUUCCGUAGGUGAACCUGCGGAAGGAUCAUUAUCGUACAACGGAGGUGCGAGGGCUGUCGCUGACCUUCGAAGGUCGUGCACGCCCGCGCCCUCUCACAAUCCAUCUCACCCUUUGUGCAUCACCGCGUGGGUCCCCUUUGCGGGAGGGCUCACGUUUUCACAUAAAACUCGAUACAGUGUAGAAUGUUUUUAUUUUUGCGAUCACACGCAACAUCAAUACAACUUUCAACAACGGAUCUCUUGGCUCUC
rnacentral:misc_RNA from 1 species